CUACGGGCCGCUGCAGUGGGGAAUAUUGGACAAUGGGGGAAACCCUGAUCCAGCAAUGCCGCGUGUGUGAAGAAGGCCUGCGGGUUGUAAAGCACUUUCGGUUGGGAGGACUGCUUCUAGCACUAAUAUUGUUGGAAGUUGACGUUACCUUCAGAAGAAGCACCGGCUAACUCCGUGCCAGCAGCCGCGGUAAUACGGAGGGGUGCAAGCGUUAAUCGGAAUUACUGGGCGUAAAGCGCGCGUAGGCGGCUAGAUCAGUCGGGUGUGAAAGCCCCGGGCUUAACCUGGGAACUGCAUCCGAUACUGUCUAGCUUGAGUACAGGAGAGGAGAGUGGAAUUCCACAUGUAGCGGUGAAAUGCGUAGAUAUGUGGAGGAACACCAAUGGCGAAGGCAGCUCUCUGGCCUGAUACUGACGCUGAGGUGCGAAAGCGUGGGGAGCAAACAGGAUUAGAUACCCGCGUAGUC
rnacentral:rRNA from 1 species